ensembl:lncRNA
CUUUGCCUUUCAAAGCGAAGUUUGAAAUAUUGCCUGCGCGCCUCGUUCGUGGUUGUUUGAAGAUCCGUGUAAACUUCCCGGGUUCCCGAUCCGUGCCAUGAUGGAGGUGCCGUCGGCGUCGCCGGGCGGCGUGUCCGACGACGACGACGUUAGGCCCAGCGUGCUGGAAUCCACAGCCGCUGACCCCGGGGGCCUCGCGGGCCCGCGGGGUCGAGGUUACGACCUGCCGGAGAUCUCCCUGAUCUCCUCGCCUCAAGACGACCAGCCUUUAAGGAAAGAGGUGAAACAUGUGGGGAUACAUAUGGACAAAGAGGAUGAUGUGGAGAGAGUCCAAGUGUAUUUGCGUGUUCGGCCCGUGCUCGAGGCGGAGAAGGAACGUGGUGAGGAACAGGGCUGUGUCUUUAUUCACGACCAACAAACCGUGGUGCUGAAAGCCCCCACGGACUCGUUCAACAUGAAGGGCAUGGAAAGGGGUACUGCUCAGAGCAUGCACAAGUUCACUUUUACACAGAUAUCUGGACCUGAGACAACUCAGCAAGAGUUUUUUGAGUGUACCACGAAGGAGCUUGUGCAGGAGGUCCUACGUGGUGAGAACAGGCUGCUUUUCACGUAUGGCAUCACCAACUCUGGCAAGACAUACACCGUCCAGGGAACGAGCCAGAAGGCCGGCCUGCUCCCCCGGACACUGGUGGCCUUGUUUCGCAAGCUGCAGGGUCAUCUUUCCUGUGCGCUGGAGCUGAAACCAGUGCUGUGCCAGGAGGUGCGCGUCCUGGACCAUACCGAGGUCCAGGCUGAGGAGAUCCGCCGAGACAAACUGCUACACAUGGUGAGGAGGAUUCUGGGAACGUACGAUGUCAGCAUCAGCUGUGAUAGUGGCUUUUGGGGUGCGUCCACAGUCGCCCAGCUGGAGGACUCAGACAGUGUUUGCCUGGAAGCCAAAAGCCUUUCACAGAGUGGAGAGGAGGGGCUCCCGGAAGGGGUGCAGUUCUCGGUAUGGGUGUCCUUUUUCGAAAUCUACAACGAGUUCCUGUAUGAUCUGCUGGAUUCCACGUCUUCCUCGCACCGCAGGAAACGAUCGACAUUGCGCUUGUGUGAAGAUCGCCACGGAAACCCUUAUGUGAAAGACCUCACCUGGAUGCAGGUCCGCAGCGCUGAGGAGGCCUGGAAAGUUCUGAAAGUGGGGCGCAGCAACCAGAGUUUUGCAGGCACUCAUAUGAACCAUGUUUCCAGCCGCAGUCACAGCAUCUUCAACAUCCGCAUCCUGCACACGCACCCUGGAAGCAGCAGGGGGCAGAAUGCUCGGAUUAGUGAGCUGUCUGUCUGUGACCUUGCGGGGUCAGAGCGUUGCAGAAACCAGCAGAACGGGGAGCGCAUUAAGGAAGCAACCAACAUCAACACCUCUCUUCACACCCUUGGCCGGUGCCUCAAUGCCCUUCGAUACAACCAGGCCAACAGGUCUCGGCCCCCCCUGGUCGUGCCCUUCAGGGACAGCAAGCUGACACGUGUGCUGCAGGGCUUCUUCUGCGGCCGUGGUCGCUCCAUCAUGGUGGUCAACAUCAACCCUUGCGCCUCCAGCUAUGAUGAGACACUGCAUGCCCUCAAGUUCUCCGCUGUCGCAAUGCAGCUGGUCCACAUCCCGUCCACUAAGACCCGUGUAGCCUACAUCCUGUCUCUGCUGCAAGGAUGUGAGCAGCGAGCCAGUGAGAGCACUCUGCUGGAGGAAGAGGAUGGCGACGAGGAGGGAGACGUCACCAUGUUUGAUUGUGAGGAGCUCCUGCGAGCCAUAGAGGUGCUGAAGGGAGAGGUGCUGAGACAGAGGGAGGAGAAGGAGACGUUGGAAGGCAAUGUGAGGGAACAGGUCUUCUCCGAAAUGAUGGAGGUCAUAAGACGCAUGGAGAAAGACUUCAGUGAAACCCUGGAAACGGAGAGGGAGCUGAUGCAAGAGCGAUAUGAGGACAAGAUCCAGAACUUGCAGAAAAGCCUGAGAAGAUACUACAUACAGGAGAUUGAGGAGCGGGAUGAACGGAUCAAAAAACUGACAGAAGAGCUGGGACACAGGAAGGAGCUUGGUGGACAGGGAGUAUCGUUGCUCCCGGCGAGCGAGGGUGGUCCACCACAGCUGGGAAACGAGGGCCAUCGCCAUUCCCGUCGCAACACCUCCUCGCAAACUGCAGAGCUGAGCAGAGUGAGGGAGCAGCUGGUCCGGUGCCAGAACCUCCGUCAGCUGCGUGUCGGCCUCCAGCAGCUGAGCCUGAACCUGCGGUCAGGGGAACGGGUCUGCUGUAGCAACACGAGCGGAGAGCGGCUGCGCACCAUGCUGGCUGCUGCCGAAGGGGUGGCUGCCAAGCAGGAGCAGACACUGGUGGAGCUGCAGAAGAGCUGGAUGACGGUCAGAAUGGAGCUCAGGAAGAAGUCCGAAGACGUAGCCGGACCGCAGCUCCCAACCCCCGGUUCCUUCCGGAAAAAGGGGCACCCAAACCGGGAAUCUGAGCUUGAGAACAAACACCCCAAGAAGAAACGCUCUGUCCGAUGUGUGCGGAACGCCCCCCCGGUCAGCCCCGCCACACCCUUUUUCCGCGCUCUGCGCUCCCGCCAGCAGAGUCCCCUGUCCUGACGGGGUCAAGUGUUGAGUUUCCAGGAGUGCAGUGUUUGGAAACAGUUGGUCACAUUAACCAGCCAAAUCUGAAUGAUGCAUUGGCUUUGAGUGAAUGUGAAAUAACUCAGUUUUAGUGCCAUGUCAUUUACACAGGUUUCUCUGAUCUGUCAAAUCUGGUGCUGGGGUUUGUGGUCUAAGGUGGUGUGUUUUCUUCCUCUCAGCUGUACUGCAGCUCACCUUUGGGGUGUAGAGUCGCUCAUCAAAUUUCAAAAUAUUUCAACUUUUGUGAAGUUCAGAAUACCUUGCACAUAAGUAAAAUUAUGGAAUAUAAACAACAUAUGCACUACUUCAUGACUUGGUGGUCAGCUUAGGAUUUGGUUUUGAUUUGGUUGUUCAAAAAUCACUGAAUGGUUCUUGUUACUGCACUGCACUGUUAGCUGAACAACGCAGUGGUGCUGGUUUGAAAAAUAAGUGUAUUUUGCUUUGGUGGUGUAUAAUCUAUUUAGUUGUGCUUCUGCACAUACUGGUGCUCAAUUACCCUGAAUGCUUUACCACACUUUUGGUGCACAUCACUUUCUACUGUGUUUCGUGUUGCUGUGCAGGCAGUACUUUUGCUUUCAUAGAAUGUGAAGCAUUUCAAAUGAAGCUUAUUUUUAUGUUGAAGUUCUCCAGUUUGCAUUAUUUUUCGGGGGUGUACCGUACACAGAAGUAACUUUUUCUCGUUUUGCCAUGCAU